rnacentral:lncRNA from 10 species
GGUUUUCCAGCUUCAGGCUAUCUUUGGCUUGAAGGUCGGGCUUCACUGGGGACCUGCCCCAGUCUGCCUAGGAAUCUGUCUUCUGCUACUAUCAGAGGGACCACGCUUCGCUUAUCCAGUCGUCAUUCACGGACCCUGCAUUGUCUCUGCCUCUUGGGCUUUGUGAAGAAUGCUGCUGUGAACAGGGGAGUGCCCCUGCCUGUUUGGGUCCCUGCUUUCCAUUUCUUUGGGAGCAUCAUUAUAAACUGCUGAUCUACUGUUUCUUUGUCAAACGGGAGGAGAUAACAUGAGGGUCAUGAGAAAUGUUUGCAGACGGAGUGAAUGCCUUGAAAGUGCUGCGACCAGGUGCUGACACCCGGAGGUCUGGCUGCUCAAAGUGUUAGCUGACACGGAAGACACACGGACUUUCCCUCCAUUCCCCAAAACUCCCCUUCCCUGACUCGUCAGCUGCAUAAAAACCCUCUCCUUAUCUCUUUGUCAAGGGGAUUUGAGAAAUCUUGCUGUCUUGUCUUCUUGCUUUGGCCAAAUGGAAUAAACCUUUCUCUGUCUCCAGA